rnacentral:lncRNA from 1 species
AGGCAUCACAGCAAAUAGACGCCUGGGGAAGAGACGAUGAUGAUUACUACUAUUUCCGAAGUGCUGUCCGCGGCCGCAAUCCUCCCUGCCGAGCGCCCGGCGCUUUUCACGGAGGAUUUGGCCCCGCCGGCCUCCUGCCCUGCCCAAUCUCUCUGCACACUGUGCUCAGGGGCUGCCGGUGGAGGGAAGUAUGGCCAUGGCGAAAUGGGACUUUUCUUUCUCUCUUCCCUGCCUCCCUCCAGCAAGAUUGAAACGCCGUGAAGAGAAAUGAAAACCUGCAGAACGCUUUCCCAAAUAAUUUAGGUGAAAAUUUGAGUACAGAAAUAUGCAUAUAUAUACCCCCGUAAGAAAAAAAAAGAUGGAUUGAAUUUAGGGGUUUUCCGUCUAUUAAAAAAAAAAAAAAAAUCGCCAUUCAAUUUUCCUUGCACAAAAGCAUCAAGCGCAGAUGCGUCUGGAGACACACCUCCAAGGUUGCCCCCACUCCGGGGGUAGGAGUCCCCUCCGGUCGGAGACGUGAAGGUGGGGACCAGGAGGGAGGGGGCGCAGCCACAGCGCUGCGGACAGACACGCAUACCUCAGAGAGCCACUCCACGUGCGGAACUGCGAGGAUUUUUUCCUACAGCCCAUCAGUGAAAGUGAGGCUUGA